rnacentral:rRNA from 1 species
GGGCCCGCACAAGCGGUGGAGCAUGUGGUUUAAUUCGAUGAUACGCGAGGAACCUUACCAGGGCUUAAAUGGGAGAUGACAGGGGCAGAGACGCCCUUUUCUUCGGACAUCUUUCAAGGUGCUGCAUGGUUGUCGUCAGCUCGUGCCGUGAGGUGUCAGGUUAAGUCCUAUAACGAGCGCAACCCCUACCGUUAGUUGCCAGCGAUUCAAGUCGGGGACUCUAACGGGACUGCCGGUGCAAACCGUGAGGAAGGUGGGGACGACGUCAAAUCAUCACGGCCCUUACGUCCUGGGCUACACACGUGCUACAAUGGUCGGUACAGAGGGAAGCUACCCCGUAAGGGGAUGCGGAUCUAUAAAACCGAUCUCAGUUCGGAUCGGAGUCUGCAACUCGACUCCGUGAAGUUGGAAUCGCUAGUAAUCGCAUAUC